ACGUAGGGUGCGAGCGUUAAUCGGAAUUACUGGGCGUAAAGCGUGCGCAGGCGGCUUUGUAAGACAGAUGUGAAAUCCCCGGGCUCAACCUGGGAACUGCAUUUGUGACUGCAAGGCUAGAGUGCGUAAGAGGGCGGUGGAAUUCCGCGUGUAGCGGUGAAAUGCGUAGAGAUGUGGAGGAACACCGAUGGCGAAGGCAGCUGCCUGGGCUGUCACUGACGCUGAUGCACGAAAGUAUGGGUAGCAAACAG
rnacentral:rRNA from 1 species